rnacentral:rRNA from 1 species
GGGUUGUGAGGUUAAGCGACUAAGCUUACACGGUGGAUGCCCUGGCAGUCAGAGGCGAUGAAGGACGUGCUAAUCUGCGAAAAGCGUCGGUAAGGUGAUAUGAACCGUUAUAACCGGCGAUGUCCGAAUGGGGAAACCCAGUGCAAUUCGUUGCACUAUCGUUAACUGAAUACAUAGGUUAACGAGGCGAACCGGGGGAACUGAAACAUCUAAGUACCCCGAGGAAAAGAAAUCAACCGAGAUUCCCCCAGUAGCGGCGAGCGAACGGGGAGCAGCCCAGAGUCUGAAUCAGCUUGUGUGUUAGUGGAACGGUCUGGAAAGUCCGACGGUACAGGGUGAUAGUCCCGUACACCAAAAUGCACAGGUUGUGAACUCGAAGAGUAGGGCGGGACACGUGGUAUCCUGUCUGAAUAUGGGGGGACCAUCCUCCAAGGCUAAAUACUCCUGACUGACCGAUAGUGAACCAGUACCGUGAGGGAAAGGCGAAAAGAACCCCGGCGAGGGGAGUGAAAAAGAACCUGAAACCGUGUACGUACAAGCAGUGGGAGCACCUUCGGGUGUGACUGCGUACCUUUUGUAUAAUGGGUCAGCGACUUAUAUUCUGUAGCAAGGUUAACCGUAUAGGGGAGCCGCAGGGAAACCGAGUCUUAACUGGGCGUUAAGUUGCAGGGUAUAGACCCGAAACCCGGUGAUCUAGCCAUGGGCAGGUUGAAGGUUGGGUAACACUAACUGGAGGACCGAACCGACUAAUGUUGAAAAAUUAGCGGAUGACUUGUGGCUGGGGGUGAAAGGCCAAUCAAACCGGGAGAUAGCUGGUUCUCCCCGAAAGCUAUUUAGGUAGCGCCUCGUGAACUCAUCUUCGGGGGUAGAGCACUGUUUCGGCUAGGGGGUCAUCCCGACUUACCAACCCGAUGCAAACUACGAAUACCGAAGAAUGUUAUCACGGGAGACACACGGCGGGUGCUAACGUCCGUCGUGAAGAGGGAAACAACCCAGACCGCCAGCUAAGGUCCCAAAGUCAUGGUUAAGUGGGAAACGAUGUGGGAAGGCACAGACAGCCAGGAUGUUGGCUUAGAAGCAGCCAUCAUUUAAAGAAAGCGUAAUAGCUCACUGGUCGAGUCGGCCUGCGCGGAAGAUGUAACGGGGCUAAACCAUGCACCGAAGCUGCGGCAGCGACACUAUGUGUUGUUGGGUAGGGGAGCGUUCUGUAAGCCUGCGAAGGUGUGCUGUGAGGCAUGCUGGAGGUAUCAGAAGUGCGAAUGCUGACAUAAGUAACGAUAAAGCGGGUGAAAAGCCCGCUCGCCGGAAGACCAAGGGUUCCUGUCCAACGUUAAUCGGGGCAGGGUGAGUCGACCCCUAAGGCGAGGCCGAAAGGCGUAGUCGAUGGGAAACAGGUUAAUAUUCCUGUACUUGGUGUUACUGCGAAGGGGGGACGGAGAAGGCUAUGUUAGCCGGGCGACGGUUGUCCCGGUUUAAGCAUGUAGGCUGAUUGUCCAGGCAAAUCCGGAUAAUCAAGGCUGAGGUGUGAUGACGAGGCACUACGGUGCUGAAGUAACAAAUGCCCUGCUUCCAGGAAAAGCCUCUAAGCAUCAGGUAACAUCAAAUCGUACCCCAAACCGACACAGGUGGUCAGGUAGAGAAUACCAAGGCGCUUGAGAGAACUCGGGUGAAGGAACUAGGCAAAAUGGUGCCGUAACUUCGGGAGAAGGCACGCUGGUGUGUAGGUGAAGUCCCUGCGGAUGGAGCUGAGACCAGUCGAAGAUACCAGCUGGCUGCAACUGUUUAUUAAAAACACAGCACUGUGCAAACACGAAAGUGGACGUAUACGGUGUGACGCCUGCCCGGUGCCGGAAGGUUAAUUGAUGGGGUUAUCCGUAAGGAGAAGCUCUUGAUCGAAGCCCCGGUAAACGGCGGCCGUAACUAUAACGGUCCUAAGGUAGCGAAAUUCCUUGUCGGGUAAGUUCCGACCUGCACGAAUGGCGUAAUGAUGGCCAGGCUGUCUCCACCCGAGACUCAGUGAAAUUGAACUCGCUGUGAAGAUGCAGUGUACCCGCGGCAAGACGGAAAGACCCCGUGAACCUUUACUAUAGCUUGACACUGAACAUUGAGCCUUGAUGUGUAGGAUAGGUGGGAGGCUUUGAAGCGUGGACGCCAGUCUGCGUGGAGCCAACCUUGAAAUACCACCCUUUAAUGUUUGAUGUUCUAACGUUGGCCCCUGACCGGGGUUGCGGACAGUGUCUGGUGGGUAGUUUGACUGGGGCGGUCUCCUCCCAAAGCGUAACGGAGGAGCACGAAGGUUAGCUAAUCCUGGUCGGACAUCAGGAGGUUAGUGCAAUGGCAUAAGCUAGCUUGACUGCGAGCGUGACGGCGCGAGCAGGUGCGAAAGCAGGUCAUAGUGAUCCGGUGGUUCUGAAUGGAAGGGCCAUCGCUCAACGGAUAAAAGGUACUCCGGGGAUAACAGGCUGAUACCGCCCAAGAGUUCAUAUCGACGGCGGUGUUUGGCACCUCGAUGUCGGCUCAUCACAUCCUGGGGCUGAAGUAGGUCCCAAGGGUAUGGCUGUUCGCCAUUUAAAGUGGUACGCGAGCUGGGUUUAGAACGUCGUGAGACAGUUCGGUCCCUAUCUGCCGUGGGCGCUGGAGAAUUGAGGGGGGCUGCUCCUAGUACGAGAGGACCGGAGUGGACGCAUCACUGGUGUUCGGGUUGUCAUGCCAAUGGCACUGCCCGGUAGCUAAAUGCGGAAGAGAUAAGUGCUGAAAGCAUCUAAGCACGAAACUUGCCCCGAGAUGAGUUCUCCCUGAGACUUUAAGUCUCCUGAAGGAACGUUGAAGACGACGACGUUGAUAGGCCGGGUGUGUAAGCGCAGCGAUGCGUUGAGCUAACCGGUACUAAUGAACCGUGAGGCUUAACCUUACAACGCCGAAG